AACAGUAUUAGGCCUUAGGUUCACAUCAAAUCAUGGCCAACGGAAAAUAAUUCCUGAGUUUUUCCCUUGAUUUCAGGACUUUAGCAGAGAGGAUUGAGUGAUGAGGCCAAACACAUGGCUUUCAAGCACCUAAUUGACUUUGAUGUAAACAAACUUGAACGCCUUGCUGGAUGGUUGACGGGUCACACGGGUGUUUGACGGCAGUGGAGCUCCAAGGGCAGCACACUUCAUGGUAGUGGAAUUUCCUGGUCCAUGAUUCAUCCUGUGUAUGGCGGAGUAGAUCUGGGGUUCAAAGUUCACGGAACAUGUAACAUUCUUUGGAUUGGACUUCGAAUAACCUCUGUGAGGUGCCUCGGAUUUCUGGGUGUUGGUCCCAAACCUGGUAGAGGUAAGUGUAUUCCUGUUAAAGCGGAAGUUCACUAGCUGACGUAGGGUGGCCUGGUC